GGUUGAUCCUGCCAGUAGUCAUAUGCUUGUCUCAAAGAUUAAGCCAUGCAUGUCUAAGUAUAAACAGAUUAUACUGUGAAACUGCGAAUGGCUCAUUAAAUCAGUUAUAGUUUAUUUGAUAGUACCUUACUACAUGGAUAACCGUGGUAAUUCUAGAGCUAAUACAUGCACAAGUCCCGACUUUUGAAGGGAUGUGUUUAUUAGAUUCAAAACCGACAUAUUGGUGAUUCAUGGUAACCGAGCGAAGCGCUUUUGCGCUGGUUCAUUCAAAUUUCUGCCCUAUCAACUUUCG
rnacentral:rRNA from 1 species